ensembl:lincRNA
UUUCAUGCCAGCUACAAAGUUUUAAAAGUACUAAGGCAGUAUUGUGGGGAUAUUGGCUCACCAAAUGUCAGCGGUCUAACAGCUUGUCUUUGUGGCCACGUUCCUCCUGGUGGUUUUAUAUUGCAUACGUGUAUUUUCUGCUAGUAAAUUGCUCCUUAUUCAUAUUGGAUUAAGUGUAUUAAAAUUCCAUGGUGGCACCAAAGAACAAACAGCUUCUAGGUGUUCUACCCCUUGCCUAAGCGUGUGAAGAAAUACAACUUGUAAAAUCCAAAUGCUGGUGUCAUUUAUAUAGAUCACGUGCCCAUAGGCACUAUUCAGUGAACUAAGCUUUAGUAAAGGAAGUAUAGAUCCAAGCUGAAGUAGCUCCUGGCUUGUACUUUCAGCAUAAAAAACUGGAAGAUCCCUCGAUAGUGUGCCCUCAUUUGGGCAUUCAACCUAUAAGAUUUUUCCCUUAUUUCCAACUGAAGGUGCAGGCUUACUAGCCUUCUCGAAUUCUGAUUGAAUCUGCUGUAUGUCUAGCGCCAUCCUGUGUCCUGAAAUUACUCAGAGUAAGGCAUAGUCUGGUGAAUAUUUGAGAGUCACUCACCCAGCUAGUUAGCAUUGUUGAAUGAUUUAAGUCUUAGAGUAGAAAAAUGUACCAACUACAGUGAGGGCACAGAAAAUUUGGUGGCUAUAAGAAAUUAGGCAUGGUUUCAUAAAUGACAUUUGAACCAAGCCUUGAAAAGCACAGAUUUGCCUGCUAAUGUCAGAUAAGGAAUAGAGAAAGUGGACAAGAAAGCCAUUGCAGCCACAGCACUGUUUGGGUAAAGUCACAGAGGCAGGGGGCCACAGAGGAGUUCUACUCACCAUGGGGUUUGUCGGCAGGUAAUGACAGAUUUUGUAAGGCUGGAGAUGGUGGCCACGCGUCAGAUCAGAAAGGACAGGCUGAGGGAUUUGAACUCCAUCUUGUAGGAAAUGAAGAAGUACUGAGAGUUUUAAGCAGCUCUGCGAUUAGGCAGACUGAGGUGACUCGUUCUCACUCUGGACCAGAGCAGACCGCAGCUGGCAUGAGACCCUCCAGCGAUCGUCACCGCUCAGCUAGUCGCGGAGGAGUUUCGGUCUUCCUGAACCUGCAGCCUCAUGAUGAGGGAAGCGCCUCACUCGGAGUUCACCGGAGACUGCGGGGCAGUCCCGUCCACAGGGAAGCAACAAACGUUUCUUGUGUGAAGUGACUGAAAUUUGGGGGUUGUUUUUACUACAGUGUAGCCUAGCUGGGGGCUAUAAAAAGGAUUAAGAUGUGCUGUGUGCAUGUACCAGCUCCCCAUGAUGAAUGCGGUCAUUAUGUACUGCAAACAUGUGCUAAUACAAAGAAAAAACUAAAAGAGAAACACACACACAUAAAAAACAGAACAAAACUAAUAUACAACACUUACUGUCCAAGUUACUUCUGACAUAACUUUUAGUCCUCCCUUCCAUCUGUUCAGAUAGACGCCACCGCAAUUCAUUUAUUGCUGACUCAGCAAAGUUGUGAUUGUGAUUUCUCUGAAUCAUUUGACCCAGUUGGCUGUUGUGUUCUGGAAACUUCUCACUCUGGCUGUAAGACACCGGCCAAAAAUAAAAAAAAAGAACAAAAAAAUUCACACAAAAACUUGCAUAUGAAUGUUCAUAGAAAUGUUAUUCAUAAUUGCUAAAAAGUAAAAACAAUGCAGAUGUCCAUCAACGUGAAUAAACAAAAUGUGGUAUAUCCACACAGUGGACUAUUAUUUGGCAAUAUAAAGAAAUGAAGACCUGGUCUUGCUUUGGCAGCACAUGUACUAAAGCAGAAAUGAAGACCUGGUGUAGAACAAUUUGGAUGAACCUUAAAAACAACUUGCUAAGUGAAAGAAGUUACUCAUAAAAGAUUCCAUAUGUAUGAUCCUAUUUAUAUGAAAAAUUCAAAUGGGAAAUCUAUAGAGACAAAGUAGAUUCAUGAUUCUUUAGGAAAGGGCGCUGAAGGAAAUAGAAAGUGACUGCUCAUGGGUAUAAGGUUUCUUUGGGCAGCUGGGAAUGUAGCUCAGAGACAGAAUGCUUGCC